rnacentral:rRNA from 1 species
GACGAACGCUGGCGGCGUGCUUAACACAUGCAAGUCGAACGGAAAGGCCCUGCUUUUGUGGGGUGCUCGAGUGGCGAACGGGUGAGUAACACGUGAGUAACCUGCCCUUGACUUUGGGAUAACUUCAGGAAACUGGGGCUAAUACCGGAUAGGAGCUCCUGCCGCAUGGUGGGGGUUGGAAAGUUUCGGCGGUUGGGGAUGGACUCGCGGCUUAUCAGCUUGUUGGUGGGGUAGUGGCUUACCAAGGCUUUGACGGGUAGCCGGCCUGAGAGGGUGACCGGUCACAUUGGGACUGAGAUACGGCCCAGACUCCUACGGGAGGCAGCAGUGGGGAAUAUUGCACAAUGGGCGGAAGCCUGAUGCAGCAACGCCGCGUGCGGGAUGACGGCCUUCGGGUUGUAAACCGCUUUCGCCUGUGACGAAGCGUGAGUGACGGUAAUGGGUAAAGAAGCACCGGCUAACUACGUG